rnacentral:rRNA from 1 species
AUGGAAAGUGUUCAAUUAGAACAUGAAAACGUGACGCAAUUGGUCUUAGUUAGUCUUCGGGGCAGAGUUGAAGAAGGGCGGAGACUCUCGAACGAGGAAAAGGAUCCCUUCGAAAGAAUUGACCAAGGAGUCGUAUGA